GUUGGAGUGCAGUGGCACAAUCACAGCUCACUGUAACCUUGAAUUCCUGGGCUCAAGUGAUCAUCUGGCUUCAGCCUCCCAAACUGCUGGGACUACAGGUGUGAGCCACUAUGCCUGGCCAGAGCUUUUUUUCAGACAUCUUCUAUCUACUUUUACUAGAGAUAGAAAUGAGGUGUGGGGAGGUAAAAAGGAAGUGACCUGUCCCACAGUGAAUCUGCAGAAAAGCCAGUGAAGACCAGGUGGAUGAAAAUGAGGCUGGGGCCAUGCCCAUGGGGAGAUGUUGGACGAUGCUUGAGUGCAAGAUGGCAGCAGGCCGGGAGAGGCCCAGAAGAGAACUCACCACGCCGUGGGGUUCCUUAAUGACAUGGGGUGUCAAGCAUCUUUUCAUAUGCUUAUUUGCCAUCUGGAUAUCUUCUCUGAAGAGGAGAUCUGCUUGAAAAUGUCCACCUACUCCACCCAGGACAGCAGAAACUACUCGGGGAGGCUGUACUGGGCCCCUUCUUCCAGCUGAGAUGGAUAACCUGAAGCACAGAGACAUCAAACAGGCCACACAGCUAGAAGUGCCAGGACCAGAGCCCAAGUUUAUCCAGCUCCAAGGCACAUGGUCUUUCUCCCAUACCCACUUACCUCCCUGCCUCCUAGUCUGAAGCGGAAACACUCAACAAAGAAAGCUCCCUCACCACCUAAUUGAUGUGGCAUUGGAAACAGCCUUGUUCUUCCUCACUUAGAAUAGACUCCCUUUGCUCCAUUCCAGAGAGGGGAGAAGAAGCAAUGAACUGCCUGGGGGAGGCAGUUCUGCAGAAAGAAUCUGAAGGCCACUGUGGAAGGAAUUGGCCACGGAAGCUGCAUGAUGACAACAGUGCUGGGCUUGUCCUGACCUGGCCUCACUCCGGCCAAUUUUUCCUAAUCAACAUGGCCCUGGGGAGGGAGCAGCCUGCCUGGAAUAGGAAUGAAGAAAGACAGAUUAGGGGUCACUCUCCUGGCUUUAACUUGCAUGGGCUUGCUGGGUUCCUUUAGAUCCCUGCAUGAACCAUUCAAUGCAAACCAUACAUGUCUGUUAGGACUCUUGGUUGCAAGUGACAGAAAACCUUCCUCAGCUUCAGAAAGCGGGGAGGGUUUAUUGAUUCUCAUAAUGGAAUAGUUCAGGGGUAGGUCUGGCUUCGGGUAAAGUUUGAUACAGGGCCCAAAUGACAUCACCAGAAUCCAUCUCUCAGCUCAGUUGCUUGUGUUUAUCUCUAUUCUUCAGCUCUGUGGCUGGCAGAAAUAGCUGUGCCACACUAAGAUACAUACUCGCCUACUCCAGUGGAAAAGAGGGAAUUUCCCUUCCCAGAAGCCCCAGCAUUUCACUGGCUGUGAUUGGUUUAUAUGCUCUGGAGCUCUCACUAUGACUGGAGGUCAUGAAGAUUGAAUAAACUUGGAGGACAUGAAGAUUGAAUAAACCCAGAACCCAUCCCUGGGGCUCUGGGUGGUAUAAUCCCACCAGAUCACCUAGGGAAUGGAGAAGGAGUAGUUUCCCAAACGGAAUUUGGGCUUCAGUUUUUAGUAGAGGGGGCAGUGAGUGCUGGGCGAUCAACAACAAUAUCCCUCCCACCCCAACAAGGAGAGCCCCAGUCCCCAUUUAAAUAGCCCAGCUCUGGCUCCGACUCACCCUCUCUGCCCCUCUCCUUUCAUCUCAUCCCAUCCUGCUCCUGAACUUGCAGCUUGGGCUCCAUCAUAGGACAGGGUCCCUAGAAACAGAGUCUGAGACAAGGAUUAGGGCACAUGUGAUUAAUCAGGGGUGUGGUCCCAGGAGAAAGGGUAUGAAAGAAGCAGAAUUAGGCAAGGGCAGAGAGGAGCGAGGAUGCAGCCUCAGCCAGAUUCAGCCUGAUAUCACAGGGCACUCUGGAGCAUCAGCUGUGCCAGAGAGUUGGUCCCUCCUUGAGGCAAGGGGGCCAGCCUUUUGCACUCUCCUCCCCUCAUGUCAAUCAGUCAUUGGUUAUGGGCUUCCCAGGAAUGUGUAACCUUUCAGGGUAGGCAGCUUCCAUUCAGCCAGUGCAAUUCUCCAGAGAUGGGGGCAGCUGAGAGCCAUUACAGCUAACAUGCCCAGCAGCAAGGAGGGUUUGGGCAGAAUGUCAGCUACAGGCUCCUUGCCUUGCCCUUCAGAUUGAAUACUCAGUUCCGUUGUUUCCUUGGCAAUGGCCUGACUCCCUCCAUGAUCCCAGGGCUAAAUCACCUUUAUAUCCCUCUGACUGCUUAGCAAUGCCUCUCCAAGCUUGGGGGACCCUAAGGGCCUCCUACCCCUAGCACUGCUCCCAAGGGUACCCCUGCUCCCACAGGGCCCCUAGAGCAGGAGCCAACCAGAGAGAGCUGCCUUGCACCGGGAUGGAGCCUGGGGCUGUCUUGGACAAUGGCAGAGUCCCUGGCCUCCUGGUUUCCUCUGCCUCACUCCUCCCCAGUUCUGACUUUUGUCUGCUACUUUGGCAUUCAGCUUCCUGGGCAUCUGCCUCCUUCUGGUGUACAUAUUGGAGCCUCUUCUCAGAAUGGUCAAUUCUGUUGGCCUUUCCAGUUCCCCCACCCUGGAUUCUUCUCUAGACAGCUGAUGCCCUUUGACAAGAAUGGUUUAAGUUAAGUCUCUUGCCAGGUGCCAACUGCUUUUGAAGGCUUAGAUUCUGUCUUGUUUGAGGGCUUUGCUUAUUAGUUUAAGAGUGCCGGGCUGGGCGUGGUAGCUCACGCCUGUAAUCCCAGCACUUUG
rnacentral:lncRNA from 1 species